UACGUAGGGUGCGAGCGUUAAUCGGAAUUACUGGGCGUAAAGGGCUCGUAGGCGGCCAACUAAGUCAGACGUGAAAUCCCUCGGCUUAACCGGGGAACGGCCUCUGAUACUGGAUGGCUUGAGUUCGGGAGAGGGAUGCGGAAUUCCAGGUGUAGCGGUGAAAUGCGUAGAUAUCUGGAGGAACACCGGUGGCGAAGGCGGCAUCCUGGACCGACACUGACGCUGAGGAGCGAAAGCCAGGGGAGCAAACGGG
rnacentral:rRNA from 1 species